UACGUAGGGUGCGAGCGUUGUUCGGAAUUACUGGGUGUAAAGGGUCCGCAGGCGGGCGAGCAAGUCGGUGGUGAAAGUUCAUGGCUUAACUGUGAAAUUGCCUUCGAUACUGCUCGUCUUGAGUUCGAGAGAGGAUGAUGGAAUUCAUGGUGUAGCAGUGAAAUGCGUAGAUAUCAAGAGGAACACCUGCGGCGAAGGCGGGUUGCUGGGCCGACACUGACGCUGAGGCGCGAAAGCUAGGGGAGCGAACGGG
rnacentral:rRNA from 1 species